rnacentral:lncRNA from 1 species
AGCAAUUUCAUUAAAUCAUACCCCACAAGAACAUGCUAAACCUUCAACCUCUCACCAUUACAAUAACAGGGGAGGUUAGCAUUUCAUAUCAUACCCCCAAGACAUGCUAACCUCUCACCAUUACAAUAACAGGGGAGGUUAGCAUUUCAUAUCAUACCCCCAAGACAUGCUAACCUCUCACCAUUACAAUAACAGGGGUUCACGGUUUGAACCAGUGUUUUAAUCGGUCGAUCAAACAGUCAGGACAGAAUAAAAAUAUCGAAUGAAUGUUAAGAGGAAUAUAAACUUCAAAUGUUCCCCCAAAAAUGUUUUAUUUCUUAUAAUGGCUAAUAAUUAUGUCUAAAAGUAUUUUAGGAGUUCAUAGAUUAUGAAAGAACAGAGAAACACCCACCUUCUCAUCUCUUGUACCACAUUAGCCAAGACCUCUUGAUUGAUAGCAUCCACGUUGCCUCCAGGCCAGAGAGACAGCAGAAAGAGAAGGACAAUUCCCCUCAUAGUUACACACAGAGAUUGUGGAUGGCUGGUUAUUGUCCUGUAGAUUGUAGAUGGCUGGCUGAUGUCCUCUAGAUUGUAGAUGGCUGACUGAUGUCCUCUAUCCAAGACAAAACAGAUUAAGGUCAACUCAAGUUAUGGAAAACAUCGAAAACACACUUAGACAUGUUCUUUAUUAAAAACAGCAGAACAACAGUUAUCACAUUUAGUUCAGAGAGAAGGUACUAAUUCACCCAUGUACCUGUUGAAGGGUUGUAGCUGUGUCCAUGUGAGCAGCACUUUAUAGUGGCUUUAUGUGUUAAUAGUUAUCCAGAGAAGGGAGGGCAGAGGGAGGGGCAGAGGCUGCUGACCUCAUUACCAUAUUUAUCCAGGGAGGGCAGAGGGAGAGACAGGUGAUGUAAUAGCUUUACUGGAAAUAAACAGGUAUUAUUGACCCUGGUUCGAUUCCAAGCUGUAAAUCAAAUCAAAUCAAAUCAAAUUUUAUUUGUCACAUACACAUGGUUAGCAGAUGUUAAUGCGAGUGUAGCGAAAUGCUUGUGCUUUUAGUUCUGACAAUGCAGUAAUAACCAACAAGUAAUCUAACUAACAAUUCCAAAACUACUACCUUAUAGACACAAGUGUAAGGGGAUAAAGAAUAU